UACGUAGGGACCAAGCGUUGUUCGGAUUUACUGGGCGUAAAGGGCGCGUAGGCGGCUUAACAAGUCACUUGUGAAAUCUCCGGGCUUAACUCGGAACGGCCAAGUGAAACUGUCAAGCUAGAGUGCAGAAGGGGCAAUCGGAAUUCUUGGUGUAGCGGUGAAAUGCGUAGAUAUCAAGAGGAACACCUGAGGUGAAGACGGGUUGCUGGGCUGACACUGACGCUGAGGCGCGAAAGCGUGGGUAGCGAACAGG
rnacentral:rRNA from 1 species